rnacentral:rRNA from 1 species
GACGAACGCUGGCGGCGUGCCUAACACAUGCAAGUCGAGCGAGUGGAUCUCCUUCGGGAGAGAAGCUAGCGGCGGACGGGUGAGUAACACGUGGGCAACCUGCCUCAUAGAGGGGAAUAGCCUCCCGAAAGGGAGAUUAAUACCGCAUAAGAUUGUAGCUUCGCAUGCAGUCGCAAUUAAAGGAGCAAUCCGCUAUGAGAUGGGCCCGCGGCGCAUUAGCUAGUUGGUGAGGUAACGGCUCACCAAGGCGACGAUGCGUAGCCGACCUGAGAGGGUGAUCGGCCACAUUGGGACUGAGACACGGCCCAGACUCCUACGGGAGGCAGCAGUGGGGAAUAUUGCACAAUGGGGGAAACCCUGAUGCAGCAACGCCGCGUGAGUGAUGACGGCCUUCGGGUUGUAAAGCUCUGUCUUCAGGGACGAUAAUGACGGUACCUGAGGAGGAAGCCACGGCUAACUACGUGCCAGCAGCCGCAGUAACAC